rnacentral:lncRNA from 1 species
UGUUCAUAGUGGACCUCACUAUGUGCAAGUGACACUGUGUGUGUUGGUUUGACAAGGGGUGUUGGGGCUGACUCUGCAGGUGACACUGUGUAUGACUCUGUGACUGCAUUGGUGACGCUGGGAGGUGGGGCUAACUGGGCAGGUGACAUCACAAGUGGCCCUGUGACUGUGUGCAGCUGACGGUGACUAGCCCAAUGUCAGGAAGCCAUGGCAGCUCCCACAGCCCAUCAUCCACCUGACACAGCCUCAAACUCCCUGUCUUCCGGGGUAGCUCCUGGGGCCUCCUUCUUGGGGUUUCUCUUGCCUGGUGGCUCUUGUCUCUCCUCUGCUCCCCUCCUGCUGCCUUUCUCUCCAGGCACCUCUGCACCUGCACCGUCCCUGGUGUGCCUGACUCUCGGGGGCUUGGUGGAUGUGGCCAUCCAUCACCCAGCUCUGGGGGAAAGACUGGACCAGAAGUAAACACGCUACACUCCUGCUGAGGCCUGUAUGGCGGGAAGGAGACAAGACUGGGCCUUGGGGAGAGAUUGGGAAGAUCUUGGCUUCGUCUGCGAUGUUUGGGUUCAUUUCUCAAAGGGAGAACAUAUGCAGUCCUGAUAAUCUGCACAAAAAGGCACCAGAGUUCCUGAAUCUCUCAGUUCCCACUCAUCACUCCAGUCAGGGAUGUGAUCAAAGCUGUGAUGAUCCUCAACAGAUCUUCCAGCAGAAAAAGUCAGGUACAUACCUAUGGAAAAGAGCAUGAGAUCUGGAGUCAGCAAGACCUGGGUUUGAGUCCCAGCUCUGUUACUCACCAGCUCUAUGACUGCCAACUUCUCUGGGCCUCAGUUUUCUCAUCUAUAAAGUGAAGUUAGUAAUCGCACCUCCUCCAUAAGGUUAUUGGGAGGACCAAAGGAGAUGUUGCUCCUAAACUGCUUAGUAAGAUCUCAAUAAGUGCUCCAUAAAUUGGUAGCUAUUAUUACUUCAGGCACCUGAAUCUGAGUCUCUCAAAGGGGAGACAUCAAUUACCAUGUGUCCUUUCCAGUGAAGUCAGCUGAAGACUCUUUAAUAUUGAGAGCGCUUCUGGAAGCCUGGCUUCCUCCUGCUCUCAUGGGCUGUUGUACCUUCCAGGGCACCAGUUUCCUCCUCUCUCUUUCCCCAUUCAGCAUAACACCCAUCCCCACCCCACCACCCACUCCCUCUCCUUGUCAAUUCUUGUUUGGUUCAAGUCCACCUCUUCUGAAUCUCAUACAGAGUUUGGUUAAUAUCUAUUUGAGACAGACAGGCAAACAUGGGUUUGAAUCCUGGCUCAGCACAUGCUAGCUAUGGCAAUUUAGGCAAGUCAUUUAGCUCUACCUCUAGCCUCAGUUUCCUCAUUUGUAAAAUGGUGAUGAUAACAGCCCCUUCCUCAUGAGAUUGUUGAAAGGAGCAAAGGAGGAAACGCAUUAAAAGUCUCAGCACAGAUGCAUAGAGAAGUGCUCAACACCUAUUAGUCACUAUUGCUGUUCUUCCUGGUUUCCUGAUUUUUGUUUCUGCCAUUCUUUUCUAGGGAUACUCCACCUCCUCUCUGACACUUUGGAGAGUAAAGAGUCAUAUGUCAAGCUGCUGUACUCUCUUUGGAAGCAGAGCGAACACCUGUAUUUGCAGCCCAUCUUGUGUGUGCUCAUCUCUUGGGGGAAGAUGUCCUUGGGGCACCCCCUUAGUCCUCUGGGACCCCUCAUCUCUUACCUAGGGCUGGGAUCCUAAGUGGAACAUUCAGCCUUUGUGGUUGUCUUUGUAAUGUUGUGUGUGUGUAUAAGAUUGUGUGUAUGUAUAUCUGUAAGUGUAGGAACAGGUGUGUCAUGUGACUGCGUGUGACUUUUACGGAAGUACACAUGUAAUUGGGUACGUAAAAACAUGUGAAAAUGAGAGAUGGUUGUGUGUGUAAGGUUGUGCAUAUGUGUGUGGUAGGGGUGCAGCUGUUGGACAUGAUGCCAGCUCUUCAGCCAUCUGCAGGCUUGAGGGGUCCUGGGCAAUUCACGAGGUUCCUGGUUGCCGGCACCUGCCACUCUGAGAGGCAGCCGCAGCCUGUCGUUUUGGGAAUAGCCAUGCUUCAAUGACUCACAAUCCUGCUUCCUCAGAAUUUUCCAAAAUCUGACCUAGGCAAGGGAUUAUGAAAAGAUUUUCCAAGUACGCCACUGGUACUGGGAGGAUGGUUAGCUUUUUUAAGAAAAAGUUUCCCAGUACUUUUAAAACCACUUGGUUUGAAGUCCCUUGCUUACAAUGAGUGCUUAAUUGCCUGCAAUUCCUAUCUGUUCAUUAAGGCAACUCUCUUAAGGGACCAUGUCUUGACAAUACAGGGUUAGCCAUUAAUUCGCAUUAAUUGGAAAGUAAUAAAAUUUUUGCAAUGUCUCA